GCGGAAUGUCAAGUCAGCGGUGAAAGUCUGCAGCUCAACUGUAGUUGUGCCGUUGAAACUGAUAUUCUUGAGUGUAGCUGAGGUAGGCGGAAUGAGUAGUGUAGCGGUGAAAUGCAUAGAUAUUACUCAGAACACCAAUUGCGAAAGCAGCUUACUAAACUACAACUGACGCUGAUGCACGAGAGCGUGGGUAUCAAACAGGAUUAGAUACCCUGGUAGUCCACGCAGUAAACGAUGAUUGCUGGUUGUUUGUGCGUUAUAGGCAUAAGCGACUGCGCGAAAGCAUUAAGUAAUCCACCUGGGGAGUACGUCGGCAACGAUGAAACUCAAAGGAAUUGACGGGGGCCCGCACAAGCGGUGGAACAUGUGGUUUAAUUCGAUGAUACGCGAGGAACCUUACCUGGGCUUAAAUGGGGAGUGACGUCCCGAGAAAUCGGGAUUUCUUCGGACACUCUUCAAGGUGCUGCAUGGUUGUCGUCAGCUCGUGCCGUGAGGUGUCGGGUUAAGUCCCAUAACGAGCGCAACCCCUGUUGUCAGUUACCAGCACGUAGAGGUGGGGACUCUGGCAAGACUGCCGGUGUAAACCGCGAGGAAGGUGGGGAUGACGUCAAAUCAGCACGGCCCUUACGUCCAGGGCUACACACGUGUUACAAUGGCCGGUACAGAGGGCAGCGAGACGGCGUCGUCGAGCUAAUCCUAAAAGCCGGUCCCAGUUCGGAUUGGAGUCUGCAACCCGAC
rnacentral:rRNA from 1 species